rnacentral:rRNA from 1 species
GGGUGAGUAACACGUGAGUAACCUGCCCUUGACUUUGGGAUAACUUCAGGAAACUGGGGCUAAUACCGGAUAGGAGCUCCUGCUGCAUGGUGAGGGUUGGAAAGUUUCGGCGGUUGGGGAUGGACUCGCGGCUUAUCAGCUUGUUGGUGGGGUAAUGGCCUACCAAGGCGUCGACGGGUAGCCGGCCUGAGAGGGUGUACGGCCACAUUGGGACUGAGAUACGGCCCAG